UAGUCAAUAAUCGCCACGUUGGGUGUUAAUUCCCCCACUCUUGCAGUUUUGAGCAUCUACAAGUGAUAAGCAGCUUCUCACAGGUGUCUCAACCACAUCAUGAGGGAAGCCUUUGUGCAAAAAUGCAAAUGAUAAGCAGUGCAGCAGAAGUCAGGUUCUGUCACCAGUUGCCUUAGCGAUGGCUGGGGGAAAGGUGGGCUGAGAAGAUGUGAGGCAGGACACAAGUGGUCUCUGAUACUGUCAGGUUUUUAUGAGCAAACAAGCAAAAACAUAUACUAUAUAAACAGAAUCAAUCAUGGGAAAGUUUCAAUACGCCACAAUCUGUUCAGAAACUGUUUAACUUCCAGUGACACCUAGUGGUGAAAUAUAGACACUCACAAGCAUCAAGUUACAGCUCUGAAAAUUUUACGUUGCUUAGUUUCACUCCAUUCUGAAUGAAAAACCCAGUGCCUGAUGUGGACAGUCACCUGCAGUAACAGCUGUUCAUCUGUUGGGACCUUUAUCUUAAUCCAGCAUUUUAAGAAGAGCAGGCCAACUCCAUUUGGUAGCUUGAAAACUUCCAUGUCCCACAAUUUGUUCGGUAACAAAGUCCCAGUGACACCUAGUGGUGAUACAUAGACAUUCACAAGCAUGAGGUUACAGCUCUUCCUUUGAAACUUCUGUUGCUCAACUUCACUCCAUUAUGGAUGAGAAAUCCAGUGCCUGAUGUAAACAGUCACCUUCAGGAACAAGCGUUCAUCUGUUGGGACCCUUAUCUUAACGCACCAUUUUGGGAAGAGCAGACAAACUCAAUUUGGUAGCUUGUAAGUAAACUCUAUUGAUGUGGGGAGCUUUGUAGUAAGACUUUGCUGUAAGGGGACGAUUUUACCUGACUCUGAGCUACUUCCCCUCUAUGUUUUUCCAUACUUGCAGUCAACCUUAAAUGAGAUCUCUAUAUUGCAUUUAUAAUCUAAAAAUCCUAACUUCUCCAAAUUUUUGGAAUCACUCUACUUAAAUCUCCAAGUUAAGGGAUCUAUGAGAAAGUAUACUAAUUAAAUGCCAUUAAGCCGAUUUAAUUCCAUUAUUCUAAAUAUACAUUAAAUAAUUUCUAUUUUUGCAAGUUUUAUUUAUAUCUUAUUGAAAGUACAUUCCUUAGGAGCAAUUAUUUUUCUUAUGAAAAAAUUAUACAUGGCAAAAACUAACUGGAAAAUCAAAUGUUGAAUCUUACCUGUAAAAGUUUGGUUUUUGUGAAUUUUCUUUUGUAGCCAUUUUCUACCAAAAUGCAAUUUACCCAGAAUGAAUUGUACUGUAUGCAGUUUUAUGCACUAUAAAUUUUAUUUCCUGUUGGUUUUGCUGCUAUUCAUAUUUAUUUUAAAAUUUAGAUAAAGCAAAAAAAGUUUAGCUCAUUGAUGCAGUUUUAAUAAGAUGUUCUAUGACUUUUCCUUUUUCCCAGACUAGUUUAUUAUAUUGCUGCUAAUUUGUUUUUUCCACAGACUUUGCAAACUAUAUACUAAUUAUGCAGGCUCUGGACUGAGAAACAAGGCUAGAACAAGAGUAAAUGUUCUCUGUUGGAGUGUGUGGUCGUUCUCUGGACUAUCAUGUCUCCUACAAAUAAAGAUAGCUAGGCUUCUUGUUUUACA
rnacentral:lncRNA from 1 species